CCUACGGGAGGCAGCAGUAGGGAAUAUUGCUCAAUGGGGGAAACCCUGAAGCAGCAACGCCGCGUGGAGGAUGAAGGUUUUCGGAUUGUAAACUCCUUUUGUUAGAGAAGAUAAUGACGGUAUCUAACGAAUAAGCACCGUCUAACUCCGUGCAAGCAGCAGCGGUAAUACGGAAGGCUCGGGCGUUAUCCGGAGUUAUUGGGUUAAAGGGGUGCGCAGGCGGAAGAUCAAGUCAGCGGUAAAAUUGAGAGGCUAAACCUCUUCGAGCCGUUGAAACUGGUUUUCUUGAGUGAGUGAGAAGUAUGCGGAAUGCGUGGUGUAGCGGUGAAAUGCAUAGAUAUCACGCAGAACUCCGAUUGCGAAGGCAGCAUACCGGCGCUCAACUGACGCUCAUGCACGAAAGUGUGGGUAUCGAACAGGAUUAGAUACCCGAGUAGUC
rnacentral:rRNA from 1 species